GGAGCAUGAACUGUAGCUCAGUGGUACAGCACCUGAUUUUGCAUGCAGAAGGUCUCAUGUUCGAUCCACAGCAUCUCCA